AGAAAGGAGGUGGGCUUUUUUUUCACCCUGCUUUAAAAGCCCUUGGGCCCUUCCCAGCUGGGUGCCAGCCAACUGUGGCUGCCUGGGACACUCCAUCUUAAGUCCCUGUGCCUCUGCUGUGUGUUACUGAGUGCCUAGGCCGUGCCAGCCUGUAUUCAUCUGUACUAUGACCUGAAGAGGCAGAGGCCAUCACUGUUGGUCCGGUCUCCACCUGGGGAAACUGAGGUGUCUCUGUGGUGACGAGCAGGGCUUCAUCCAGUGCCUCUGUCCCCACCGAGGGGACUAUGGGAGACAUGGAGGGUGUGUGAGCAACAGGUGAGACUGGAGCCAGCUGAAAACUGGGAGACCGACCCAGCCAACAAACAAUGUCGGUCUCUGUCUUGGCACCUGCAGGAAACAAGCUCCUACUUCCAGAAAAAGUGCUCCUGGGACUCCAGGAUACCAGGCAUCUGGGUAAGCUACAAUGCUUAACCACUUAACACAAUCAGGAAGCAACAGCCAUGCAUUCGGGAAAGGAACUUCAGUGUUGUGUGGCUCAGUCUCCAGACCUAACUUUCCCUUUGGUACAGACGCGGUGGUACAUGCCUGUAAUCCCAACACUUAGGCAGGAGGAUCACUCGAGCCCAGAAGAUCAAGACUAGUGUGAGCAACAAAAUCCUUCCCUGGCACCGGUUCCAGGAGGACCUCGUUCUUAGGCAGCAUCUGUGUCUCUGUUUUGUAAGACACACAGAGUAUCCUUAACCCACUGCAGAUAUUUCCCUGGGUCCAUGGUCAAUCAACACCACCUUUCAGUCUCCAGCCUCUUAACCAGCCCAGGGCUGAGUGUUGUUUAUAGUAUUAAUAUGUUUCUGGCUGGGCUCAGUGGCUCAUGCCUGUAAUCCCGGCACUAUGGGAGGCUGAGGCAGGCGGAUCACUUGAGGUCAGGAGUUCAAGACCAGCCUGGCCAACAUAGUAAAACCCCGUCUCUACUAAAAAUACAAAAAUGAGCCGGGUGUGGUGGCGUGUGUCUAUAAUCCCAGCUACUCGGGAGGCUGAGGCAGGAGAAUUGCUUGAACCUGGGAGGUGGAGGCUACAGUGAGCUGAGAUCAUGCCACUGCACUCCAGCCUGGGCAAGAAAGUGAGACUCCAUCUCAAAACAAAGAAACAAACAAAGUAUUAAUAUGUUCCCCUUGAUCAGUGGGGUGGUUCACCCUUGUAAUCCCAGCACUUUGGGAGGCAGAGGCUGGCGGAUCGCUUGAGUCCAGGAGUUCGAGACCAGCCUGGGUGAAC
rnacentral:lncRNA from 1 species